GCGUAGCGUUUUGUUAUUCCUGCGCGUGCUGCCGCAAAGCUCCAUGUUCAGUUCGCCUCCGUCGCGUUGUCGUGCGCGCGAAACUGUUUGCAGUCGAUAUCAAGUCCGUGACACGCGCGCCGGACACGGUAAAGCGUUGCGUGGGCUUGUAUCCGAGUCCGCCCGACCGUGACCUCGCUUUGCUUCUUGUGUCGCUACUCGCCAAGUCCUUUCCCCAGUCCGCGCCAUAAAAUUCACUCGGACACGAUCUCGUCGUCGUUCCGUGCGUCAUCAAGAAAUCCCGAGAAUCGGGUGAAGACGAAGCUAGCAGCAUGGUAUUUACCAAGUGCUCGACACAAGAGCUAAACCAGAAUCCUUGCCGUGUUCGCGGAUAGCGCGUCAGAUUUAGAAUGGUAAGCCGAUUUAAAAUUUUUGUUAGCUUAAUUAUUGAAGUAGUUCGAUGAAUGUGAUAUGCUUAUUUUCAUGAUUUUGAAGCAGUCGUGUCACGGUAGGAUUAAAUACAUGUGAAGUACAAUGGAGUUAAUAAUGCAAAAGAUAGAUUAAUUUAGGUAAUAUUCGGGCGAGCUGAUGUUGAAAGAAAUAAGUUUAGUAUUCCUAUUAGCUAGUUAAUAGAAUUUUCUAGUGUCGUUAUGUCAAUUUGAUUAAUUGAUAUGGUCGAUGCCAUGUAUAAUUAGUUAGUUUAUUCUAGUCAUGAUAUCCUUUGUUAAUGAUCAAUUAAAUACCCUAGAUAAAUACCUAGCAUUACCGAAAUGAGUGAAAGUGAAUAAUAUCGAUAAGUUUGUCUCUGUUAGGAUUCAAUCCAGCUAAGUUAAAAAUAAUGUAGAUGAUGAGUUGUGUCUAGGCUAAUUAUGUUUAAUGCGUUGUUCGUGAUGUUUGCGUUAGGUUCGUUUAAUCUAGAAAACCGUGAUUAUUGCGCUUAGUCGUACGCUGAUAACUAGUGUUUUCCGUAGAAAAUAGUACAACGUCUCGCCGCUAGGUGUUUAAUUCACCGUCGUGUAGCCUUAUUUAGGUUUGUGAUAUUCUUGUUUAUAUGCAUUCAUGUGCAUUAUGCAAAUCAUUUAGGUACGUUGAUUAACCACGAGAUGCGGAGAACUUGAGUCAAGUCGACCCCAAGCGUGGGCUAAUCCGUAGGAUGAAGCUGAUGGACCAACCUGAAGAUGGUUAAAUCAAGCAAGUGCUCGGUCGAAGAAUACUCGUCAAGCGGACGUCACCUAACAACACUAACCUAGUGUUACCCAGGCAAUCCCCGGUGCAUGCAACCCCUUCCUUGUGUUUUUAAAUAAUUUUUACACACUUUAAGUCUAGCGAAAUGUGCAUUACGUUUAUAGGAGUUGCUUGGAAACCCUUUGAUGCAUUGCCUACCUUGAAAUCCAUACCUUUUAUAGAUACUUCUGAUGAAGUAUCAAAAUAUGAUUUACAAAAAAUGCUUAGCCCUGCUUAUAGGCAGAUAGAGUUUGUCCUUUGCACUUAUGCCUAGCUCAGGUUGAUCCUGAGGAAGGAUGACCUCUACCUGCACGGAUAUUUUCAUUGGGAGCAUGGUGGGAUCUUACUGUAAAGUUCCCUAUAAUGCUCUUUUCAUCCUAAGGAAUACAAACAAUCCUAAGGGUGGAAGUACUUAAAUCGGGACUUGGGCUAGGAACAGGUGAUGCUCCGCCCGGGUCAAUUAAGGAUUGGAUGCGUAUGUAGGCCUGAUAGAUCAAGGACUAUCUUAACUAGCCACAUGCCCUGGAAAUGGGACAGGGUAAGCUUGAACCCGGCUAUUCCAUACGUGAAAAGACAACCGCGCACUGGGCGUGGGAGAUGGUGGGAGUAGCGUGUGCCCUCCUGGCUAGAGGCUGGAUGGAGGAGUACUGUGCUCCCGGGUAGCGCGGACCGGUUCACGUUGUGGAGGAUCUGUGGGAACGGUUGACAUAUGCAAGGGUUAAGUGCUACAUAUGUCGUGUGGUUAGAGAUCCUCAGCUGAGUAAAUCGAUUCGGAUCGCCGUUAUAUCCCCGGAGAGUGGAGACUUGAUCACUGACCUGCAACCUAAGUCAGGAUGUGAACCUCAUGAAUAAAAAUGAUGUUGUAUUGAUGAGAUGGUGAAAUUAGACCAGAUGCAAACAGAGUCUAUUAAUAUUUAAUCUGGCGUUAAAAUAUUGAAAGUAAGGACUCACUUUAGUAAGCUCUUUCUGCAAAAGUAUCUAAGUUGAUUCUUGCUAAAGCCUCUCCUUGAUUCCCAAAUCCAGCAUAUCCUUGAGAGUCUUUUCUUUAGUCGGGUAAGACUUGCUGAGUAAUUCCAUACUCAGGGUUUUAUUCCCUGUUGUUUUUCAGGUUUAGUUUUGUGCUGCUGAUAAUGGUGUUUAAGUGCCGGUGGGCUCGGCCUUCUUAUAAGUCUAAGUACUUCUUCUAUACUUCUUAAUGAGGAUGGUCACUUGAGCUAGCAUAUAUUUCAAACUUAUAAUUUUGUAAUCACUCCGAUAAAAUAAUGUAAAAUUUUUGUAACCUGUAAAAUUUGGUAGUAAGAUUUCCGCUGCAACAAUAUUGGUGUGUGUGAUUUGUGUUACUUAAUCCCGCGGUUCUGGUUGAAAGUGGUUUAUCCGAUGUCCUUGGGGCAAUCGGACAGAUCCUGUUGAGUUAUCUGGUGCACAUGCAUGGUCGUCUGAGGUCUUUGGGACAAGGACGGGUGCAUGUGGGCCCAAUAACUUGGAGGUUCUACCACAGCUGGUAUCGGAGCUGGAUUAAGUAUGUACGAUCACAUACGUAUUUUCAAAACAAAAGUUUUGGUUUUAGAAUACCUAUCUUCAACUAAACAUAUUGUUUGGUUUUGAAAAACAGAUUUGAAAAACUAUAAUGCUAGCGACAUCCUCUGUUAAGCCCUAAGUUAAGGACUAUUAGGUGGCUUAUUUGAAAACCACUAACCCACAACCGGGGGUAUUGCAUACAUGCGUAUUGUUAUUUUGAGGUCAUUCAGUUUUGAAUGGAUCGACGAUCAGGUAAGGUGAGAUGUGAGAGCAUGACCGAACAAACGUCGGUCUAGGGAAGUGCUUAAUUGUGGCGCUUGAUUAUAUACAUGUUUUACAUAUGUAUAUAUGAAGGCUGCGAUGUGGAGUAAUUACUUUUCUGGGAAUUCAGUACCCCAUGGAUGUGUAUGGGUAUACAGACAUGGGAAUACUGAGAAGUUUAAUGUACUUGUAACGACGCACCUACGCCCAGGUAAGAAGGUGAGUUACCAUAAUGAGUUACCCUAUGGUAAAAGUGUGGCAACGACGCCUAUGCGUGGCUCAGCGCUUAAUGAUGAGCUGGCCUCCAUAUAGCAAUAUAUGGAGUAUAAACUGUGAUAAACUGUCAUGUGUGAAUUGCAUCAUUGGGAAAUUGGGCUGUGAUGGAAUUUUCUGCAGGUACACUAACCUCGAAAACGUAUGUGUAGUUGACGACUAGCAAAAUACCGUGAGAGUCGCAAGUAUGCCACCGAUAUAGAACGCUAUCGCCACAUUAUGUUGGCAAAAUCAGUGAGGACGAAUAAGACGAGCAUGCAUCCUGAUUGUUGUAUUAUGUUUGUCACCUAUACACCCAAUGCUUCUCUCAUCCUUAUUCCAGAAACCAGUGAUUGUAGAUAAUCUGGUGUAAUGUUGAAUUAUGAACUUCGAUAAAAUAGUUGUUCUCCGUUCCUUAGGUAUUAUGUUUAGAUGCUAUAUGUGUGCUCUUGUGCUUAAUGUGUCGAUAGAAGGUUAGUGACUUGUUUGCCUAAACCCAAAUCUAGGCCAUGUUCUUAGUUGGUGAACCAUGACCAAAGUUGAUUUUUCCGUUACCCCUCUUUGAUCCAAACUUAUACAAAUAAAUGUUUAGAUAAUUUCUUCGUUGGACAAAAAGGGUACUUAAUCUUAAAAUAAGAAUCUCGACUCAUAUUUUCAUCUUAGACCAUGCCCUUAUUCGAUUGGCGCAAGCUGAUAUCCCUAAUUCCAGCUUGCCUGUUCUUGAUAAUCACAUCAUUGUUUUAUCGACCCAACCUAGGAAAGGCAUGUCUCGUCAUUUUCAUGAGUUUGAUGCCUUUGAUUUCCUCAUUUCUAUCGAAGGCAUAUCAACUUAAUCUCAUGAUUAUUUUUACUCCGCAUCUAGUUAGAUACUAAUCCUUGACCUUGUAAUCUCUAUGAUGGACAUAGAAAUAUGCUUGGGGCUAGAUUAACAGUCUCCCAUCAUACUCCCUUCAUCAACCAGUUUAGGUUAUGGCCAUGUCUUAUUCAUUUCAUUGGGCCAUGAUCUAUUUGUCUCUCUACUUGUAACCAUUCUUACAGGUGGAGUCUCUUUUUUAUAUUGUCAUCCUUGCCCAGUCUAGUUGUGUGGCGCGAGAUUUCUCAUUGGUUACAUCUGGUAAUGGUGUUAUGACUAAAACCGAUGGUGCCGCGAUGAGACCGAGGGCCUCCUGUGAAUGUAUACACAUGGUUGUGCUGCUCGGCACAUGCUGGUAUCAUGGUUAGUAGUUGUAAUCCAUUAUGAGACUAUAUCAAUGUGUUAUCUUAGCACAAUCUGUUUUUGCUACGUGAGAUUCAUUAUUGGUGCCAGUUCGGUGAUGGUGUCAUGAUUAAUGACUUACGGUGCCGCUACGAAACUGAGAGCCCCUUGUGAAUGUACACGCAAGGUUAUGCUGCUUGGCGCAUGCUGGUAUCGAGGUCUCUAGUCAUGAUCCAUUGUGGAACUACACUGAUGUGUGAUCUUCCGUGGACUCCUCCCUUGAAACAAUUUCUAUGUUGUUUGUCAAAUGGCCAAGCAACAUCUAUCAUCUCUGUUGGAUCAAAAGGGGCAUACCACUUUUAGGCGUGGUCUCUUUUCUUUUGAUCUUGGUAGUGACUACUUAUAGAAGUUCCCUUUACAUCCUUUGUGUAAAGGCGAAGUCUUGGAGGUUUUUAGUGUCGAGAGACCACUGAUUAGCUCUCAAAAUGGAGAUUGGAUUUCCCCUGCUGCUGAGAUGCAUGAGUUGUUCAUUUGCUCUCUUGUUUAAUCCAUGUAUUCCCUAACCAAGUGGAUAAUUCAUCUCGCAUGAAGAAACGGACGAACAACCUGACCAAAUGAAUUUCUACCCAAAUGCAUGAUCAAUUGUUAAUAAGAGUGAACUCUCAACCCUUGGCUCACCGAUGGUACUGAGAGGACCUACUCAAUGUCAAAGGUAGUUCGACAAGUUGGUUUUACUAACUUGUAACUGCAUUGUGAUCAAAGGUCGAGUUUAGGGAUCGUUUUGUCGAGUUAUCUAAACCCACUUUGGUUCAAACUAUCCUAAGAAGGUACUUAUAAGAAUCAAGAUUAAGUCGGCCAGUAACCCCUAAUCAUCAUUCUAGUCACGCCUCGAUCGCCUCAUGUGUGCUUUUCCAGCAUGUGUGAUCAAGUCGAGUCGUGCUAAGUAUUUGAUGAAAUGGAUUGGUCACGAAGUCAACAUCAAUGGAUCUCUCCCUUGAUAUUUUCUCGAAUCUCUAUCAUCUUUUAUGGACUUGGAUUCUCUGGCUAACACGAGUUAACCGUGAUGUUGUUCGACAUACGCACUCAUCUCGUGUGUUAUGAACUUACCGUGGCCACUUGUUGGUAAACCUCUUUCUGUGUGUUUUACCCAAGGGGUUGCAUCUGAUUCUGUUUGGGUAAAAUCGCGUAUUUACCGCUCGCUCAACAGACUCAGAUAGUACAGUGUCAUCAGAAAAAAAAGCAAACUGCACACAUGGAACCCUAUGUGUUCUUCUGGCAGGCAUUGUCUCUAUUGUUGGACAUCUCUAAAUUAGCCUAAGACAAUACAUGUUAUGUCCACUAGAGAAACAACCUCCUAAGGCACUCGUCUUUGCUUAGAGUUGUCUUAUGGUUAUCGCUGAUAUGGACAUGUGUUACAUGUUUCUCUACUUUUAAAAGUCUUUCGUUCCGAAUCUCGGGACGAGAUUCUUUUAAGGGGGGAGGGCUGUAACACCCCAGGUGUUACUGUACGUAAACAGCGAAUAUGGACGUAAGUACGGGAUAUUAAUAAGAAUAACAGUCUCUCUGUUUUAAUCUGUUUCGUCUGUCGUUAGUUCGACAUUGUUUUUAUUUUUAUCUAUCCGGGCUCUUCCUAAAUUUUUGUGAUGUUCGGAACAUUGUUAUUCCGAAAAUCGGUGCGUCCGAUGAUUAUUUAAAAUUCAUCGCUUGCGCGAAUACGAAUUCGGAAGCUCGAACCACUUGGACGAUUUUUAUCCUGAACAAAUUAAUUUGAACUCAACGACUAAAAUGUUCGGGACAAAAUAAUUUGUAUCGCGCGUUGUCUGAGAAAAAUCGUGCGCGAGGUUAUAAUCCAAUUUAUUCUUCAGCACGCUGUUUCGAAGACAAAAUCGCGUAUACGUUCGCAGAUAUUAUUUCGGCUAAUUUCGGUCGAAUCAAGCAGAACGAAUUAUCAGUGCCGAAAUCAGUUUAUUUCGGUCUGUUGUUCUCGCCCAAAUCCAAAUCUUCGGAUGUAACCAAUUAUUAAACCAUUCGAUAUAUAAUUGAGCCUCGAUUCACUGGUAAAUCAUCCGUGACCGUGGAACCAAAUGUUCAAACCGCGGGUAAAUUUAUCAGGAUUUCGAAUCGAAUCAAACCUGGUUCAAAUUUUAUCGCCGGUUUUGUUUGAUUCGACCUGUUCAUAUUUUUUUAGACCCAGAUUUCAGAACUCCAAAAUAUCUACAUGUUUAUUUUGUUAAUGGUUUGGAGAAGAAAAAUCAAAAUUCUCUUUAUCUUCCUAAGCCUCAUUUCUUUCUUAUCUCGAUAUUGUGUGCAUGUCAAUUCAAUGGAAAAAAAAAAUCCCGACGUCCUUGUCUCCUGUUUGAUUUUUUUUCCUAGCCCUUAUCCACGUUACUCUCUUUCUCAAGAUUUUUCCAGCCGAUCUUUAUCCCUUCCACCGCCCCUGCCCUGCUCUUAUAUCUCACGCGCGUCAGAUCCCUGUGCUCGGCGUCCAUCCUCUUUCUCACCGUUGCUGCACGCCAGGAGCAGGCCCUCGACCUCCCAGCCGAGCGGUCCUUGUUCCCAUGGCGCGUGCUCGACUUCAGCCUGGAAUCCCUUUGCCGUUGCCAUGACAGCCGCCGGCCGAGUCUCUUCCUGUCGUGUGUCCAGUCCUCUGCGCAGCGCGCGCGCCUGGCUCGCUUCUCUUGCGCGCGGUCCUCUGUUCCUGCGCGCCUGCGCGCAGCUCGCUCCCUGGCUCGACUCUGCCCAGUUCGUGUCCUGCUCGCCGGUCGAAUUCUUUGCGUCGCACGCGUAGCGUUUUGUUAUUCCUACGCGUGCUGCCGCAAAGCUCCAUGUUCAGUUCGCCUCCGUCGCGUUGUCGUGCGCGCGAAACUGUUUGCAGUCGAUAUCAAGUCCGUGACACGCGCGCCGGACACGGUAAAGCGUUGCGUGGGCUUGUAUCCGAGUCCGCCCGACCGUGACCUCGCUUUGCUUCUCGUGUCGCUACUCGCCAAGUCCUUUCCCCAGUCCGCGCCAUAAAAUUCACUCGGACACGAUCUCGUCGUCGUUCCGUGCGUCAUCAAGAAAUCCCGAGAAUCGGGUGAAGACGAAGCUAGCAGCAUGGUAUUUACCAAGUGCUCGACAUAAGAGCUAAACCAGAAUCCUUGCCGUGUUCGCGGAUAGCGCGUCAGAUUUAGAAUGGUAAGCCGAUUUAAAAUUUUUGUUAGCUUAAUUAUUGAAGUAGUUCAAUGAAUGUGAUAUGCUUAUUUUCAUUUUUUUGAUUUUGAAGCAGUCGUGUCACGGU
rnacentral:lncRNA from 1 species